rnacentral:misc_RNA from 1 species
GAUGAAGAACGCAGCGAAAUGCGAUAAGUAAUGUGAAUUGCAGAAUUCAGUGAAUCAUGGAAUCUUUGAACGCACAUUGCGCCCGCCAGUAUUCUGGCGAGCAUGCCUGUUCGAGCGUCAUUUCAACCAUCAAGCCCCAGGCUUGUGUUGGAGCCCUGCGGCUGCCGCAGCCUCCCAAAACCAGUGGCGGGCUCGCUAUCACACCGAGUGCAGUAGUUUACUCUUCGCUCAGGGCGUGUGGCGGGUGCUAGCCGUGAAACCCCCAACUUCUCAAGGUUGACCUCGGAUCAGGUAGGAAUACCCGCUGAACUUAAGCAUAUCAAUAAGCGGAGGA